UAAGGUAACGGCUUACCAAGGCAACGAUACGUAGCCGACCUGAGAGGGUGAUCGGCCACACUGGAACUGAGACACGGUCCAGACUCCUACGGGAGGCAGCAGUAGGGAAUCUUCCGCAAUGGGCGAAAGCCUGACGGAGCAACGCCGCGUGAGUGAUGAAGGUCUUCGGAUCGUAAAACUCUGUUAUCAGGGAAGAACAAAUGUGUAAGUAACUGUGCACAUCUUGACGGUACCUGAUCAGAAAGCCACGGCUAACUACGUGCCAGCAGCCGCGGUAAUACGUAGGUGGCAAGCGUUAUCCGGAAUUAUUGGGCGUAAAGCGCGCGUAGGCGGUUUUUUAAGUCUGAUGUGAAAGCCCACGGCUCAACCGUGGAGGGUCAUUGGAAACUGGAAAACUUGAGUGCAGAAGAGGAAAGUGGAAUUCCAUGUGUAGCGGUGAAAUGCGCAGAGAUAUGGAGGAACACCAGUGGCGAAGGCGACUUUCUGGUCUGUAACU
rnacentral:rRNA from 1 species